rnacentral:SRP_RNA from 1 species
CGGUCCCCUCGCGACGAAAAACUGUGAACUCCGCCAGGCCCGGAAGGGAGCAACGGCAGCAGUGGUCUCGGGCGCCGGGGUGUGGCUGGUA